rnacentral:rRNA from 1 species
CAAUAGCGUAUACUAAUGUUGUUGCAGUUAAAAAGCUCGUAGUUGGAUUUCUGAAUGGAUGCCGAAGUCCGCCUGCUGGCGUGUGCUGAGGUGCCCGUUCAUCCUUCUGUCAAGGUUUCUUGGUAUUCAUUUACUGGUUUCCGGCUCAGAUAUUUUACCUUGAGUAAAUUAGAGUGUUUCAGGCAGGCUUGGACUGAAUACAUUAGCAUGGAAUAAUAGAAUAGGACUCAAAAUCCUUUGUUGGUUUCCGGAUUGUGAGUAAUGAUUAAUAGGGAUAGUUGGGGGCAUUAGUAUUUAAUUGUCAGAGGUGAAAUUCUUGGAUUUAUUAAAGACUAACUUAUGCGAAAGCAUUUGCCAAGGAUGUUUNCAUUAA